rnacentral:tRNA from 1 species
GACUCAAUGGUUCAAUGGUAAAGCCUUCGCAGCGGAGCCAGAGGGUCCUGGGUUCGAUCCCCGAUGGUGUCG